rnacentral:rRNA from 1 species
AUACGGAGGGUGCAAGCGUUAAUCGGAAUUACUGGGCGUAAAGCGCUCGUAGGCGGCUUGUUAAGUCGGAUGUGAAAGCCCUGGGCUCAACCUGGGAAUUGCAUUCGAUACUGCUUGGCUAGAGUAUGGUAGAGGGUAGUGGAAUUCCUGGUGUAGCGGUGAAAUGCGUAGAUAUCAGGAGGAACAUCAGUGGCGAAGGCGGCUACCUGGACCAAUACUGACGCUGAGGUGCGAAAGCGUGGGGAGCAAACAGGAUUAGAAACCCCGGUAGUCC